CAGUAGCCGCGGUAAUACAGAGGAUGCAAGCGUUAUCCGGAAUGAUUGGGUGUAAAGCGUCUGUAGGUGGCUUUUCAAGUCCGCCGUCAGAUCCCUGGGCUCAACCCUGGACAGGCAGUGGAAACUACCAAGCUGGAGUACGGUAGUGGCAGAGGGAAUUUCCGGUGGAGAGGUGAAAUGCGUUGAGAUUGGAAAGAACACCAACGGUGAAAGCGCUCUGCUGGGCCGACACUGACACUGAGAGACGAAAUCUAGGGGAGCAAAUGGGAUUAGAUACCCCCGUAGUCCCUGUCUCUUAUAA
rnacentral:rRNA from 1 species